UAAACCGAGGGGGAAGGGAAGGCGCGGGAGGGAAAAUAAAAGGGCGGAGGAAUUGGAAUUCAUCGUUCCGGCGCGCAUGUGACUCGGAGUCGGCCUUUUCCUCUCCUCCUCUUUUCGGGAAUUUAAAACUGGCGCCUGUUCAGUUCAGACUCUCUCUCUCUCUCGUUUCUGUAUGAUUUCAGCGACCUUUUUUCUGAUUAUUGAUGGCUUAUCCCUCUAUGGAAGUUAUCGUCGGCGGAGGAGGUAGACGGCACACCUGCUAGCAGACUUUGCAGGAAACCGGUGGAUGAAAUAGUUGCUGUUCUUUUUUUUCUUUUUUACUCUGGAAGCCAGAGAUCUGUCAGUGCAGAACGAGGAGGAGGAGGAGGAGGAGGAGGAAAAGAAGUGGGGUCGUGAGUGUUUCGGCGUAUUUUGGAGGAGUUGAGAUGUAGCUUGGUUGCGUCUUCAUGAGAGAGGGAAGUCCCGGGAAGGAGGGUAAGCUAUCAAGAGGUUCCGGCAUGGGGCAGUUUGCUUGGGAUUCAACACCAGCAAGGUUGAGCAGCUUUGGCAGCUUGCACCGGCUUGCAUUUCUGGCCGAAUGCAGUAAAUCUGCCCUGGAUUUGUUAGCAUGUUUCUGGCUUCAGAGAGUAAGAAAGCGUAGAAGAUAUUGAAUUUAGCUUUGGAAAUGCAUGCUUAGGCUGCACGUUUCUUGCCUUGUUCCUUGCUACCGUGAUAUUGGCGAUGCCGGCUCAAUCUUUGCACUUUGUGUAAUAUCUCUGUCUCUCACAUACCAAACACCCAUUCAACAUAUCAUGCGUUCACUAGGCAUUCUUGGUAACGAGUUAUAUUCUAUACUUCUUGGAAUUUGA